rnacentral:lncRNA from 1 species
GCACUCCAGUUGACUUUGCGGAGAUAUGGAAGGCGGCUUUGGCUCGGAUUUCGGGAGCUCCGGCAGCGGGAAGCUGGACCCGGGGCUUAUCAUGGAGCAGGUGAAAGUGCAGAUCGCCGUGGCCAACGCGCAGGAGCUGCUGCAGAGGAUGACGGACAAGUGCUUCCGGAAGUGCAUCGGGAAGCCGGGGGGCUCCUUGGACAAUUCGGAGCAGAAGUGCAUCGCCAUGUGCAUGGACCGCUACAUGGACGCCUGGAACACCGUGUCCCGUGCCUACAACUCUCGGCUGCAGCGAGAACGAGCCAACAUGUGAUCGCGACGCGCCAGCAGCCCACUUCCCACCCCACCCCACUCCCAGUUCCAUCUCCAUAAAUGCUGUUUGUGAGGCGGGGGCCAACGUGUGCGUGCUGCCUGCCAGAAGUUUAUGAGGACCAGACUGGUGCUGGGACAGUUGGUAUUCUGUCUCUCCGUGCCCCGUUCGCGCACACGUGCCGGCGAGUGUAACUUGCGUCUGGGGGGCCCCUGGCCCGGGUGGUGCCUUCCCUAGUGCCCCUGUUACCGAAUUGUGUCAUAUGGACCCUGUUGGGGGCCGGCUUAGGCUCUAUGUCUCCUAGGGGGUGUUCUUUUUCUGUUCCGUGGAGCCUGAAGCUGAGAUGGACACAGCACAAGCUUUAUUCAGCAGUUAAAGUAUGGAGACGCGUGAACAAACGAACUCACAGAUCAGCUUCUUAGCUGGCGAGAGGGGCUUAAUUUUAACAAGGAGGCCUGUGUGUAUGUCUACGCGGGAAGGGGCUGAGCUUUUUCCGAGGGAGUGGGGUGCCACCUCUUUUUUAUCUUUUUUGGUCUUUAAUGUCUGGUCGAGGCUGCGGAUGCGUGUGUUAUUUAAUAAGCUAAUGUAGUAAAAUCCACACAUAAUGAGACAGCGUUUGUUGGAAGUCAGAUUUGCCACCAUUUUCCUCCCAGCAGGGUUUCGUGGUUUUGUUUUUGUGUGUAUGUGUCUUCGUGUUCUAUGCAUUAGGAUUAACUGAAAGUUAAUCUUUAAAGAUUUCUGUUCACUCCUACUAAAAGGUGGGGUGGUGGUUGGCAGGUUUUGAGCAGGGACCUCCUUCCUGCAAAAGGUCAGGGUGGAUAGGUUGUGAGGAAAGGGCUGGAGCAGCUCUGGUGACAAACUACUCCCUUCCUUAUUAUUGCUCAUUCCUUUUUUUUUUUUCUUCUUCUUUUUUUUUUUUUUUUUUAAUGGCUGCAGGUGAGGCCUAUGGAAGUUCCUGGGCCAGGGAUUGAAUUCAAACCAAAGGACUUCCCUUGUGGCUCACAACAUAACUACAUGGUGUUGUUUCUACAGUGGCUGUGGUUCUGUCCCUGGCUCGGCAAUUUCCAUAUGCUGCAGGAGUGGCCAGUUGUUAUAAAAAAAACAAAAAGAAGAAGAAGAAGAAUGAAUCUGAGCCAAAGCUAUGACUUACGUUACACCUGUGGCAAUUCAGGAUCCUUUAACCUGCUGUGCCAGGCCAGAAACUGGAGCCGCUGCAGCCAGAUUCUUAAUCUACUGUGCCACAGUGAAAACUCCCUGCCCUCAUUCUUUUUUUUUUUAAUUUUUAAAUUUUAUUUAUUUAUUUAUUUAUUUAUUUUUGUCUUUUUGCUAUUUCGUGGGCCGCUCUCGCGGCAUAUGGAGGUUCCCAGGCUAGAGGUCGAAUCGGAGCUAUAGCUGCCAGCCUACGCUGGAGCCACAGCAACGCAGGAUCCGAGCCGAGUCUGCGACCUACACCACAGCUCACGGCAAUGCCGGAUCCUUUAACCCACUGAGCAAGGGCAGGGAUCGAACCCGCAACCUCAUGGUUCCUAGUCGGAUUCGUUAACCACUGCGCCACGACGGGAACUCCUUUGCCCCUCAUUCUUGAGGGUGAAAGUGUGUCUUCUGAGGCUGCUUCCUGUUGAACUUGGGGAAUAGUUUUUUUCUGUAGCAGAGCUGUUCCUGACUUGCCUAAAAUAUAUCUGAUUGUCACCAGGCAGCAGUCCCAGUGCUUAUACCCCCCUGUAUGAGUAUCAGCUGAAGCUUGAGGACUCUGAACCAUUUACUAAAAAAGCUGACAAGGCUGUUCGAGAGGCCAGGCCUGAAGAUGAUCAGGAGAUUAAUAGCAGUUAGUGCAUCAAGAUGAGGAAGAUACCAGGUUUUAUUGGGAAGGCCCUGUUUGACUAUAUUCCAGAUGGAGCUUGGGUUAGGACCUUGUGUGUUAUAUCUUUGUAACCUCUGAGCUUGCUCUUGUAUCUCUUUUAUGUUUAUCUCAGUCUGAUGAGAGUGUGGGGCAAGUUUUAUUGGUAACUGCAGAGACUCCCCCCUUGCUCAGCCAGGAGAUAGUCAAGGACAGUAUUUGCUCCUGAGUCCAGAGAAGUAGGGGAUCCUUGGAAGGCAUCCCUCAUGUUUUUAGACAAGUUCUCAAGGGCCCAUGUGAGAUUUUGUGCCGUGAUUUCGUAGUACGUAAAACCUCCCAGGGGGCUGCCAGGCCCAGAGCAAUCCCUACUCCUUCCAGGAUGAGUUUUAUUGCCUUUUUGUCUCAGGCCUGGGUGAUGUUAUGAAUGGUUAUACCUAGGUUCCUAAAACUUAGCUAGUGUAGCAUGCAUUUUGCACAAACUGGGCAUCAUCUAAGCAAGGGUAGGCUAGGUUUGUUCUGAUAGGGCAAGUGGUUUAUCCCUGGGCUCCAAAGGAACAGGUAGGUACCCAGAGGGAGCCCAUGCCUGGUGCACUUAUGAGGAGUUGAACCACCUUCAUAAGAGGCUGGCCCAAGAGGCGGUGGCCUUGCAGUGUGGGAAGAGAAGCCCACCUGCAUAUUGGGGGUCACUGGGGGAAUUCUUGACUGGUGACUUUUCCCCAGAAAUUUGGGAGAGCCAUAGACUAAACAUCAGACAUCGUCUCUUCCCAGCAGGUGCAUCUCCCAUCUGGUCCCUGUGUAUAUUCACGGAGUCAGAGUAGAGGGCACCAAUGGGUGAGAUUUCCACACGAGUCAAUCCCAGGGCGCUUAAAUUGUGAGGUAAUGGGAGAAACAUUGAUUGGAGUUCACAGCAGCUCCAGGGUGUUACUGUCGAUUCUUCCCUUUGGGGGGGUGGCCGUUCAUGGGGCGGUGGAAGUGGGAGAUCAGUUAGAGUGGUGGCACUUGAGAGUGAGUGCUUUGUGUUUGUUAGCGAUGCUAACAUGAGGGGUGAGGGCCAAGCAGGCAACUAUGUUGCGGUGGGACGUGGACUUCAAGAGGGCUAAAUUUGGCAGAGCUGUGAGCCAAGGUGAGAGUGAGGUCGUCAUUCUCAGGGGUAAGAUGUAACACCUUUCAUCCAUAGGCGUCACUGUGGAUGUGGGUGACGGACCAGCCCUGGGAUAGAUUUUGCCCAUGGGCAAGAAAUUUGCGAUUCCAUUAAGUUCCCAUUCUGCAUGGAUAGUUGUCUGAAAUAGAGCAGAGAAUAUAAGGAAGAGUUGUCCAUAAUGGCUCUUCAUCCUGUUUCCUGUGUUAACAUCCAGCAUGGACAGUCAAGAUGUUUGCCAGAGAAGGGCAUUUGGCAGAACACCAGAAGUCAAGUAAGGCAAUAGUAAUGGCAAGGCCAAAUACUCAGCCUGUCCACCGCAUUACUUAGUUGGUGGUAAGUUUGUCCUUUUGAAGAGGAACUUAAGGUCUGUGACACGUUCACAAGGGUAACGAGUGGGUGGCCCAGUCACUUCUUCCUCAGACAUAGUGAUGUUUUCCCUCUGGUAGGAUGGGUCCUGUAAUUUGAGGGCAGAAUGAGUUGACUAGAUAAGGUCCUCUCCACUUGGGGUCUCACUAACUGGUCUUGUGGGUUUCCAGCCUUCCAAGUUUUCAAAUAAACCCAGUCCCCGGGGAGAAAGGAUGUAUGGCCAUGCCAGGAGGGAAGGUGGCUCGAUUGUCUUGCGGUGGAAAGCUGGGAUUAUUUCCCUCUCUGUAAGGCAUGUUUCUGUCGAGCUGUGUCCCUAAGGUUGAUCUUGGAGCUGGUCCUUCAGGAACGUGCCUCUCGUGUACGGGCUCGUAUGGACUCAGACUGAGCUUUCCUCGAGGGGUGAGUCCCAUUCUCGCAAGUGCAGUGGGGAGAAGGGGGAUCCAGGGUUGAUGAGUGUCUUGACAGAGUUUGGCUCAGUUUCUCUGGAGGGUUUGACUUAUUCUACUUUUCUUGAGGACUGUGGUUUCCGAAUGGGACGUAAACCCCAUUUAAUUCUUAGAGCUCUAGGGACUCCCUCGGUAGUCUGAAACAGAGGGAGGCCAUUGUCGCUCUGGAUGGACUUAGCCCAAACCCAGGAUUUGUCCCUUGAGCAGCGCCAUCGAGACAGACCUCCAGGGCAGUGUUGGUUCGAUGGGGAUGACCUCCAUCCAGCCUGAGAACAUGUCGGUCAAAACCCUGCAGAUAGCUAAGAUUUCCUUGUGGCCAGGAUAUUACUGUAAAAUCAGUUUGCCAGGCAGUUCCCUGGUGGUGCAGUGGGUUGAGGAUCUGGUGCUAUCUCUGCUGUGGUGGAGGUUUGAUCCCUGGUCUUGAAACUUCUACAUGCCCACCCCCCCCAAAUCAGUGUAUCUGUCUUGACCUGGGUAUGUGGCUCUAUGCUGGGUGUUGGUCAUUCCCUUGACCUUUCUGGGGGUGGGGGGUGCAUGUGGUGAGUGGUGGGCUUAUUCCAGAGGCGGACAGGCAAGCUUUAACCACCUGUUGAAGGAGGCAUGAGAAACGGGGCCGUCAUGGACGUGAUGAGCAAUCAGUAUGGGGGCCCCCUGCCUGUGAUUGUGCUCUGGCGGGCGUCCCGGCUGGCGCAGUGCAGUGGCCAAUGGGAGGGGCAGCUGCCCAUGGUCAUAACCACCCACCCUGGGAAUCCUGGGCUUUUAAAAUAGCCCCAUCUGGGGAGUUCCCGUGGUGGUGCAAUGGAAAUGAAUCCAACGAAUAUCCAUGAAGAUGCAGGUUCGAUCUGUGGCCUUGCUUAGUGGGGUAAGGAAGGAUCUGGCGUUGCCAUGAGCUGCGGGGUAGGUCAUAGGGCUCAGGUCCCGUUUGGCUGUGGCAUAGGCCGGCGGCCACAGCUCUGAUUCGACCCCUAUGCUGGGAACUUCCAUGUGGCCCGGACAUGGCCCUAAAAAGCCAAAAAAAAAAAGCUCCACCUCAAAGCCCUUCCCCUUUUUUCUGGGGUGUAGGUGGGAGUGUAGGACUUCAGUUCUGGGGGAACUGGUAGGAAGAGAGAAGGAUCUUAGAGAAGCCUGACUUGGACUUGGAGGGUUUGACCCGUGUGCCCCCUUUCUUUAUGAGAAGCUGGAGCUAGUGGGGGUCAGGGACUGUCCAGAGGUUAAUUUGUCAGCCUCAUUGAGGACCCCCUCCCUUAAGCAUGGGGUCCUCCUUUCGUGCUUUGGACCAGUUUUAGAAAAAUAGGCUGCAGCCUGAGUCAGAGGUCCCCGAUUGUGUAAACGCUCAGGGCAGCUCCUCCUUUCUCAUGCAUGUAUGUGUGGACGGGAUGGCUCAGGUCAGAGGAGCUAACUUGGGGGUCUCAUGAGAUGGUUUUUCAGUUCCAGAAAUGCCUGGUCACAACUGGGGGUCCCCUGGAAGGGGUCAAGUUCCUCCCCUUUUCAGUGUUCUCACAAGGGCUUAGCGAUUAAGCCACAGUUAGGGAUCCCUGUGCAGCAGGACCCGACCAUCCUGGGAACCCCAGAGCUGCUUCCUUGUACUAGAGGCGCCAUCUGGCAACUCUUUCCUCUCCCUGUACAGGGCCCUUUGCCCCUUUUCUGUAAUGAACCCUAAGUGUUCUACCUGCCAGAGGGAGGUGUGCGCUUUCUCCUCUGCAGCUGUAUCCUCCCUCAGCCGGUGAUUUAAGACCUUAACUGCAUCGUGGUGAGGAAGCUCUUUGGUGGGGCUGGUGGUGAAAUGUCAUCCACUGUUGAAUAGCUCCCUGUUCUAACUUGAGGUGACCAACGUCCUUGGCUCAGCAGUAACAAACCCGACGAGUAUCUGGAUGUGGGUUCACUCCCUGGCCUCGCUCAGUGGGUUGAGGAUCCAGUGUUGCCGUGAGCUGUGGUAUAGUUCGAGGAUGCAGCUCGGAUCUGGCGUUGCUGUGGCUGUGGUGUAGCCUGGCAGCUAUAGCUCGGAUUAGACCCCUAGCCUGGGAACCUCCAUGUGCUUGCUGUGGGUGCGGCCCUAAAAAAUAUAAAAAAAAAAACCAUAGGGAGGUUUUAAAUCCUUGGAGAUACAGAAACAUUCAGCACAAUUGUUAUUUUCCCAUGCUGUCAGGGUUUCUGCCACCCAAGCGCAAAAAUGUAUUGAGAUUCUGGAGCUAGGGGCACACGCAAGAGGGCCUCUAACCCGGAGUACCAGGUCCUCUCAGGGCGUAGGUAGAGCGGUGAUGUGUUGGGCACCACAGUGUGAAUCUCCUCUGUAGCUUCAUUUACAGCCCAGAGGUCCUGAGCUUCCCAUUUGGCUCCUUUACCAGCAGAAGAGGAGUGUUGCAAGGGGGCCAGCGGGGUCUAAGGAGCUCUUGCUUGAGGAGGCUUUGUGUUGCUAAGGCUUCUUUGCUUAAGAGGUAUUGUGUUUUUAUUUGGGUGAUUGUGACUGGGUCACAGCCUGACUACGAGGGGCGGUGCCCUUCUGACUCUGCCCAUGGUGUCCCGGGUCCCUACUGGGGACCCUCAGGGUCAAUCAGGCUGUUAUUCUUGGCAGAGGGCAGUCGCACUUGGGCUGCAAAAUGGAAGGGAGCUUUGGGUGUUGCGAUGGUAAGGUGUUGGUCUCUGAGGUGAAUUGUAGCUCCCAGUUUGUAUAGUGCAUCUUUUCCUUUGAGGGGAGCUGAGCGGCGUUCUGGUACGUGUAAGAGUGAGACAGCAUUCUACCUUCUGCAUCCUACUCCAGGGGCUCUAUAAAGUUAUAUCCCUGCGGCCUCCCUUCUGCUCGCUUUAUCUUAGAGUUAUCCUUCAUCUUUUUGCUUUGUCGGUGUUCAAGGCUGAGUAGGUGGACACUGUGUCCACUAGAAAGUCAACCUUGGGGAGUUCCCGUCGUGGCGCAGUGGUUAACGAAUCCGACUAGGAAUCAUGAGGUUGCGGGUUCGGUCCCUGCCCUUGCUCAGUGGGUUAACGAACGAUCUGGCGUUGCCGUGAGCUGUGGUGUAGGUUGCAGACGCGGCUCGGAUCCCGCGUUGCUGUGGCUCUGGCGUAGGCCGGUGGCUACAGCUCCGAUUCAACCCCUAGCCUGGGAACCUCCAUAUGCCGCAGGAGCGGCCCAAGAAAUAGCAACAACAACAACAACAACAAAAAAAAAGACAAAAAAAAAAAAAAGAAAGUCAACCUUUUUUUUGGAGUUCCUGUCACGGCACAGUGGAAAUGAAUCCAACUAGGAACCAUGAAGUUGUGGGUUCGAUCCCUGGCCUCCUCGCUCAGUGGGUUAAGAAUCCGGUGUUGCCAUGACCUGUGGUGUAGGGCGCAGAUGCAGCUCAGAUCUGGCGUGGCUGUGGCUGUGGUGUUGGCCAGCAGCUGUAGCUCCGAUUCGACCCCUAGCCUGGGAACCUCCAUAUGCUGUGGUGUGGCUCUAAGGAAAAAAAGAAAGUCAACCUUUUUUGGUUUUUCUCCUCCUUUUUUGGCUGCAUGGCCAUAGAGCAUACUCCAUAGAGUUCUCAGGCCAGAGAUCAGAUCUGUGCCACACUUGGGACCUAAGCCACAGCUGUGGCAGCAGUGUGCCUGGCUGGGGAUUGAACCUGCAUCCUGCCGCUGCAGAGACAUCACCGAUCCAAUUGCACCGCAGCAGGAACUCCAGAGAGUUAGCCUUUUUACCCCCCACAGUCAGGUUCAGCCGAGGCUCCUCCAGGUUCUCUGCUUCUUUCACGUGUAUGACCAGUGAGCAUGAGCCAGGACACUGUGUCCCUUAGCUCCCUUCCAGUACCAUUGGGGCACCCCUGUCCAGGGGCCCUCCUGCAGGCGGUAUGGAUGCUGAUUGGCUUGGAGCCCUUCUCUCCACUGUGGGCAUGGUCUUUGAAACCCAGCGCAGUUCGUCCAUGUCACUGGGUUGGGGGUGCAUCAUCACUGGAAGUUGGUUGAUCCUGAAUCCCUGAAGCCAGAACACUGACAGUUCUUUCUCUUCAUCUAUCCUCCCUGGCAUCCACCUCCAGAUCCCUAACAUCCAAAAUGCAGACCCCACCUCUGGCACGGCGGGCCCUCCCUCCAACUUCUGUCACUUUCUCCUGUUGUCUGGGUGCUCUGGGAAGUGAAAUGGAGCUUAAAGUGGCCCUCCCUUCCACUGCCCCCAGGUUCACAUUUGUGUACACGGGAAGGCCGAGGGGUUUUCCUCCCGCCCCUGGAUACCACCCUGAGCCCUAUUCCAGUUGAUAGGUUUCUUCCCAGCCAACUGAAUGCCCUUAGGAAUCAAAUCCUGUGGAGUUCCCUGGUGGCAUAGUGGGUUAAGAAUCUGGUGUUGUCAUUGCUGUGGCUCUGGUUACAGCUGUGGCAUGAGUUUGAUCCCUGGCCUGGGAACUUUCCCAUGCCAUGGGGAAGGCCAAAAAAAAAAAAAAAAAAAAAAA